ensembl:lncRNA
CUCAGAAUACUGAGAGAUGCAGUUGUGAUGUUUGAUUUUUAUUAUUAUUAAAUAAAUUAGAUUAAUUGUACCGCAUGCUGGAAGACAUUAGGGAACUACUUCACUUGCCUGCACUUGCCUUUAGUAUAUUCUCAAAUUUGUACCUGUCAUUCUUCAAACCCAUUGGACAAGGUAAGCGCAAGUGUCCAAAAAGAUGGUUUGAGUUUCAGUCACAAUGCUUCCUGAUUGACUAGACUGCGAGGACCUGGCGUGAAGCAGAGCACAACUGUGUCUCUGGGCCGGAACCUAGAGUCUGAGCAUGAUUCCGACAGCUACUCUAGACACUUGGCAUCGGUGCACAACCCUGAGGAAUUCCAGUUCCUGCAGGCACUAACACAGACUGUGAGCCUCCUGCUCUGGAUUGGAGGUUCAGCCCAGAGAAACCCUGGAAUGAUGCAACAUGUGGAAUGAAGUUUCCCUCCCUGUGUUCUCUAAGGACAGAGUAGAUCUGGCAGAAUCAGACUUCAGUGUCUCUGAACAGACUAAGGAUAAUCAAAAGCAUGAAUGUUCUUGUGAAUGCUCCUGAUUUGACUAAUAAAACAAGUGCACACAUUCCUCUUGCCAGAAUUAUUGCCUCCAUGAUACUGCCCUGCAUUAAUCUUUAUACCUUCUAUACAAUGCAAACCUAC